rnacentral:rRNA from 1 species
AACGAACGCUGGCGGCAGGCUUAACACAUGCAAGUCGAGCGCCCCGCAAGGGGAGCGGCAGACGGGGGAGUAACGCGUGGGAAUCUACCCAUCUCUACGGAAUAACGCAGGGAAACGUUUGCUAAUACCGUAUACGUCCUUCGGGAGAAAGAUUUAUCGGAGAUGGAUGAGCCCGCGUUGGAUUAGCUAGUUGGGGGGGUAAAGGCCUACCAAGGCGACGAUCCAUAGCUGGUCUGAGAGGAUGAUCAGCCACACUGGGACUGAGACACGGCCCAGACUCCUACGGGAGGCAGCAGUGGGGAAUAUUGGACAAUGGGCGCAAGCCUGAUCCAGCCAUGCCGCGUGAGUGAUGAAGGCCCUAGGGUUGUAAAGCUCUUUCACCGGUGAAGAUAAUGACGGUAACCGGAGAAGAAGCCCCGGCUAACUUCGUGCCAGCAGCCGCCGUAAUAC